rnacentral:rRNA from 1 species
UACGUAGGGUGCGAGCGUUGUUCGGAAUCAUUGGGCGUAAAGGGCGUGUAGGUGGUCUGUUAAGUCAUGUGUGAAAGCCCUCAGCUCAACUGGGGAAGUGCGCAUGAAACUGACAGGCUAGAGUACCGAAGAGGAAGGUGGAAUUCCCGUGUAGCGGUGAAAUGCGUAGAUAUCGGGAGGAACACCGGUGGCGAAGGCGGCCUUCUGGUCGGAUACUGACG